GAACGCUGGCGGCAGGCUUAACACAUGCAAGUCGAGCGGACCUUUCGGGGUCAGCGGCGGACGGGUGAGUAACGCGUGGGAACGUGCCUUCCGGUUCGGAAUAACCCUGGGAAACUAGGGCUAAUACCGGAUACGCCCUUAUGGGGAAAGGUUUACUGCCGGAAGAUCGGCCCGCGUCUGAUUAGCUAGUUGGUGGGGUAACGGCCUACCAAGGCGACGAUCAGUAGCUGGUCUGAGAGGAUGAUCAGCCACACUGGGACUGAGACACGGCCCAGACUCCUACGGGAGGCAGCAGUGGGGAAUAUUGGACAAUGGGCGCAAGCCUGAUCCAGCCAUGCCGCGUGAGUGAUGAAGGCCUUAGGGUUGUAAAGCUCUUUUAUCCGGGACGAUAAUGACGGUACCGGAGGAAUAAGCCCCGGCUAACUUCGUGCCAGCAGCCGCGGUAAUACGAAGGGGGCUAGCGUUGCUCGGAAUCACUGGGCGUAAAGGGCGCGUAGGCGGCGUUUUAAGUCGGGGGUGAAAGCCUGUGGCUCAACCACAGAAUGGCCUUCGAUACUGGGACGCUUGAGUAUGGUAGAGGUUGGUGGAACUGCGAGUGUAGAGGUGAAAUUCGUAGAUAUUCGCAAGAACACCGGUGGCGAAGGCGGCCAACUGGACCAUUACUGACGCUGAGGCGCGAA
rnacentral:rRNA from 1 species